rnacentral:rRNA from 1 species
UACAGAGGGGGCAAGCGUUGUUCGGAAUUACUGGGCGUAAAGGGCGCGUAGGCGGCCCGCUAAGUCGAACGUGAAAUCCCCGGGCUCAACCCGGGAACUGCGUCCGAUACUGGUGGGCUCGAAUCCGGGAGAGGGAUGCGGAAUUCCAGGUGUAGCGGUGAAAUGCAUAGAUAUCUGGAGGAACACCGGUGGCGAAGGCGGCAUCCUGGACCGGUAUUGACGCUGAGGCGCGAAAGCCAGGGGAGCAAACGGG